rfam:Pseudallescheria apiosperma strain IHEM 14462 SEQ_SAPIO_0100, whole genome shotgun sequence.
GGGCGUUUGGUCUAGGGGUAUGACGUCAGUUUUGCAUACACUCAAAUGCCUACUGAAAGUCGCUGGUUCGAUUCCUGCAACGUCCA